UACGUAGGUGGCAAGCGUUGUCCGGAUUUACUGGGCGUAAAGAGCGCGCAGGCGGUCGUUCAAGUCGCGUGUGAAAGCCCCCGGCUCAACUGGGGAGGGUCACGCGAUACUGAUCGACUCGAAGGCAGGAGAGGGUAGUGGAAUUCCCGGUGUAGUUGUGAAAUGCGUAGAUAUCGGGAGGAACACCAGUGGCGAAGGCGACUACCUGGCCUGUUCUUGACGCUGAGGCGCGAAAGCUAGGGGAGCAAACGGG
rnacentral:rRNA from 1 species